GACGAACGCUGGCGGCGUGCUUAACACAUGCAAGUCGAACGGAAAGGCCCUGCUUUUGUGGGGUGCUCGAGUGGCGAACGGGUGAGUAACACGUGAGUAACCUGCCCUUGACUUUGGGAUAACUUCAGGAAACUGGGGCUAAUACCGGAUAGGAGCUCCUGCUGCAUGGUGGGGGUUGGAAAGUUUCGGCGGUUGGGGAUGGACUCGCGGCUUAUCAGCUUGUUGGUGGGGUAGUGGCUUACCAAGGCUUUGACGGGUAGCCGGCCUGAGAGGGUGACCGGCCACAUUGGGACUGAGAUACGGCCCAGACUCCUACGGGAGGCAGCAGUGGGGAAUAUGGCACAAUGGGCGGAAGCCUGAUGCAGCAACGCCGCGUGCGGGAUGACGGCCUUCGGGUUGUAAACCGCUUUCGCAUGUGACGAAGCGUGAGUGACGGUAAUGGGUAAAGAAGCACCGGCUAACUACGUG
rnacentral:rRNA from 1 species